AUGGGAGCAAUCACAAGCGCAGUGAUAGCAGUGGCUGCCGUGAUUCUAGGUUGGAUCACCAUCGAGAUCGCAUGUAAACCUUGUCUUGAACAAGGCCGUGAAGCCAUCGAUCGGAAUCUCAACCCCGAUUACGAUCCCGACGACGACAACGUCCGAGCACCACUCAACCCUGCUACAUCCACCCCCGACGCAGCCGCCUCUUCCACCACCGACGCUAAAUUCGUUUCAUAA